rnacentral:lncRNA from 1 species
AUGACUGCAGCCUCUGAGAGGAAGGCCGCCCUAGGAAGGAAGGUGGCGGGCUGUCUUCAGGGGCAAACCUGCCCUCCAGAAGAGAAAUCAAUGCUCAGAGGACAAGCACUGAGCCUGGAGUCAGAUAAGCAGUCUCCAAAGGCUUCAAUCAAACUUUCUGACAGCUGUAAGAACAUCGAAGUGAAGAAAACACUUUCCCAGGAUCUUCUCAUGAAGGAAGUGAACUGGAACUACUCUCAAUGUUUCUAAAAUAUGUACGCUCUGCUGUAAAGGAAGCUCCCAAGAGCAGGGACUUUUGUCUUUUUUUUUUUUUUGCUGGUGUAGCUCCAACCCUAAAGAGUGCCUGGCUCACCAUAGGUGCUCAAUAAAAUAUACACUGAAAGAACA